GUGGACUUGGCCACUGGUGACCAGGGGCAGGUGUUCCAGGGCCUGUCUGCUGUCUGAUUCAGCUGUGAGUGCAUGGAGACCCAAGUAUGGAUCAGGAACACGUGACAGGAGACGGUGCAAGCACUGCAGCAAAGAGUCCCUGGUUCCAGGUCCCAGCCUGUCUCACUGGUAUUAACACUUGUAGAGCAUUAUUGGCAAUCACUCAAAUGCAACAAUAUCAACUCAAGUUGGAGUCCUUUGGUUCGAAACACAGUAAGUGGAUCACAGUUUCUCUUGGAGGAAAUAGAAACCCCCGCUUGUCACUCUGCACAGAGCAGGAAGUUUCUCUUCUUUGGGUACAUGUGUGAGUGCUAGGUCUCUUCAGCUAUGUCUGAAACUUUGUGACCCCAUGGGCUGUAACCCCCCAGGCUCGUCUGUCC
rnacentral:lncRNA from 1 species